rnacentral:rRNA from 1 species
GUUGUCCGGAAUUACUGGGCGUAAAGAGUGUGUAGGCGGUGCUCUAAGUUCGGUGUGAAAUCUCCCGGCUCAACUGGGAGGGUGCGCCGAAAACUGGGGUGCUGGAGCGCGGGAGAGGAAAGCGGAAUUCCUGGUGUAGCGGUGAAAUGCGUAGAUAUCAGGAGGAACACCGGCGGUGUAGACGGCUUUCUGGACCGUAGCUGACGCUGAGACACGAAAGCGUGGGUAGCAAACAGG